UGUUUAAUGCAGCCAUUGGAGGUCACAAGCCCUCAUGAGAAAUGCAGAGUGAACA
rnacentral:ribozyme from 2 species